GGGGGUUUAGUUUUAAUGGUAGAAUAUCGGUUUCCAAAACCGAUGGUGGGGGUUCAAACCCCCCAACCCCCG
rnacentral:tRNA from 1 species